rnacentral:rRNA from 1 species
ACACGUGGGUAACCUGCCUGUAAGACUGGGAUAACUCCGGGAAACCGGGGCUAAUACCGGAUGGUUGUCUGAACCGCAUGGUUCAGACAUAAAAGGUGGCUUCGGCUACCACUUACAGAUGGACCCGCGGCGCAUUAGCUAGUUGGUGAGGUAACGGCUCACCAAGGCGACGAUGCGUAGCCGACCUGAGAGGGUGAUCGGCCACACUGGGACUGAGACACGGCCCAGACUCCUACGGGAGGCAGCAGUAGGGAAUCUUCCGCAAUGGACGAAAGUCUGACGGAGCAACGCCGCGUGAGUGAUGAAGGUUUUCGGAUCGUAAAGCUCUGUUGUUAGGGAAGAACAAGUGCCGUUCAAAUAGGGCGGCACCUUGACGGUACCUAACCAGAAAGCCACGGCUAACUACGUGCCAGCAGCCGCGGUAAUACGUAGGUGGCAAGCGUUGUCCGGAAUUAUUGGGCGUAAAGGGCUCGCAGGCGGUUUCUUAAGUCUGAUGUGAAAGCCCCCGGCUCAACCGGGGAGGGUCAUUGGAAACUGGGGAACUUGAGUGCAGAAGAGGAGAGUGGAAUUCCACGUGUAGCGGUGAAAUGCGUAGAGAUGUGGAGGAACACCAGUGGCGAAGGCGACUCUCUGGUCUGUAACUGACGCUGAGGAGCGAAAGCGUGGGGAGCGAACAGGAUUAGAUACCCUGGUAGUCCACGCCGUAAACGAUGAGUGCUAAGUGUUAGGGGGUUUCCGCCCCUUAGUGCUGCAGCUAACGCAUUAAGCACUCCGCCUGGGGAGUACGGUCGCAAGACUGAAACUCAAAGGAAUUGACGGGGGCCCGCACAAGCGGUGGAGCAUGUGGUUUAAUUCGAAGCAACGCGAAGAACCUUACCAGGUCUUGACAUCCUCUGACAAUCCUAGAGAUAGGACGUCCCCUUCGGGGGCAGAGUGACAGGUGGUGCAUGGUUGUCGUCAGCUCGUGUCGUGAGAUGUUGGGUUAAGUCCCGCAACGAGCGCAACCCUUGAUCUUAGUUGCCAGCAUUCAGUUGGGCACUCUAAGGUGACUGCCGGUGACAAACCGGAGGAAGGUGGGGAUGACGUCAAAUCAUCAUGCCCCUUAUGACCUGGGCUACACACGUGCUACAAUGGACAGAACAAAGGGCAGCGAAACCGCGAGGUUAAGCCAAUCCCACAAAUCUGUUCUCAGUUCGGAUCGCAGUCUGCAACUCGACUGCGUGAAGCUGGAAUCGCUAGUAAUCGCGGAUCAGCAUGCCGCGGUGA